ACGCGUGGGUAACCUGCCUCACACUGGGGGAUAACAGUUAGAAAUAGCUGCUAAUACCGCAUAAGCGCACAGUGCUGCAUGGCACAGUGUGAAAAACUCCGGUGGUAUGAGAUGGACCCGCGUCUGAUUAGCUGGUUGGUGAGGUAACGGCUCACCAAGGCGACGAUCAGUAGCCGGCUUGAGAGAGUGAACGGCCACAUUGGGACUGAGACACGGCCCAAACUCCUACGGGAGGCAGCAUG
rnacentral:rRNA from 1 species